AACUUUUGACCUCAAAUCAGGUAGGACUACCCGCUGAACUUAAGCAUAUCAAUAAGCGGAGGAAAAGAAACCAACAGGGAUUGCCUUAGUAGCGGCGAGUGAAGCGGCAAAAGCUCAAAUUUGAAAUCUGGCUCUUUCAGAGUCCGAGUUGUAAUUUGAAGAAGGUAUCUUUGGGCCUGGCUCUUGUCUAUGUUUCUUGGAACAGAACGUCACAGAGGGUGAGAAUCCCGUGCGAUGAGAUGACCCAGGUCCGUGUAAAGUUCCUUCGACGAGUCGAGUUGUUUGGGAAUGCAGCUCUAAGUGGGUGGUAAAUUCCAUCUAAAGCUAAAUAUUGGCGAGAGACCGAUAGCGAACAAGUACAGUGAUGGAAAGAUGAAAAGAACUUUGAAAAGAGAGUGAAAAAGUACGUGAAAUUGUUGAAAGGGAAGGGCUUGAGAUCAGACUUGGCAUUUUGCAUGUUGCUUCUUCGGGGGCGGCCUCUGCGGUUUGUCGGGCCAGCAUCAGUUUGGGCGGCAGGACAAUCGCGUGGGAAUGUGGCACGGCCUCGGCUGUGUGUUAUAGCCCGCGUGGAUACUGCCAGCCUAGACUGAGGACUGCGGUUUAUACCUAGGAUGUUGGCAUAAUGAUCUUAAGUCGCCCGUCUUGAAACACGGACCAAGGAGUCUAACGUCUAUGCGAGUGUU
rnacentral:rRNA from 1 species